rnacentral:rRNA from 1 species
GACGUAGGGGACGAGCGUUGUCCGGAUUCAUUGGGCGUAAAGCGUGCGCAGGCGGCUUCGCAAGUCAGACGUGAAAUCCCCGGGCUUAACCUGGGAAUGGCGUUUGAAACUACGGAGCUGGAGUGUGGCAGAGGGAGGUAGAAUUCCACGUGUAGCGGUGAAAUGCGUAGAUAUGUGGAGGAAUACCGAUGGCGAAGGCAGCCUCCUGGGCCAACACUGACGCUCAUGCACGAAAGCGUGGGGAGCAAACAGG